rnacentral:RNase_P_RNA from 1 species
CAAAUCAGUCUAUCGCUGUUUUGAGUUAUCGAAAGAGAGGAAAGUCCGGGCAGUGCAGAGCAUCGUACUUCCUAACGGGAAGGUCUUACAGGUUUAAGCUUGUGGGAACAGAAAGUGCCGCAGAAAGGCAAACUACCCAGACCAGUUCGCCUGGUAUGGGAAAAGGUGAAAAGGUGGAGUAAGAGCCCACCGCGUUGUUGGUGACAAGAACGGCAAGGCAAACCUUACGAACUGAAAGACCAAAUAUACCGAGGCUUGAGGGUUGCUCGCCCAAUCUCGGAGGGUAGGUUGAUUGAUGCUAAUGGUGACAUUAGUACUAGAGAAAUGAUAGACAACGGAGCUGCUUGCAGCAAAGGAUACAGAACCCGGCUUAUGAUUUG